AACGAACGCUGGCGGCAGGCCUAACACAUGCAAGUCGAACGCUCGUAGCAAUACGGGAGUGGCGCACGGGUGAGUAACGCGUGGGCACCUACCCGGUGGUCCGGGAUAACCGCGGGAAACUGCGGCUAAUACCGAAUACGCCCUUAGGGGGAAAGAUUUAUCGCCAUCGGAUGGGCCCGCGUAGGAUUAGCUAGUUGGUGAGGUAACGGCUCACCAAGGCGACGAUCCUUAGCUGGUCUGAGAGGAUGAUCAGCCACACUGGGACUGAGACACGGCCCAGACUCCUACGGGAGGCAGCAGUGGGGAAUAUUGGACAAUGGGGGCAACCCUGAUCCAGCCAUGCCGCGUGAGUGAUGAAGGCCUCGGGUUGUAAGACUCUUUGGUCGGGACGAUGAUGACGGUACCCGCAGAAUAAGACCCGGCGUAACUUCGUGU
rnacentral:rRNA from 1 species